GAGCUUGCUCCAUGAUUCAGCGGCGGACGGGUGAGUAAUGCCUAGGAAUCUGCCUGGUAGUGGGGGACAACGUUUCGAAAGGAACGCUAAUACCGCAUACGUCCUACGGGAGAAAGUGGGGGAUCUUCGGACCUCACGCUAUCAGAUGAGCCUAGGUCGGAUUAGCUAGUUGGUGAGGUAAAGGCUCACCAAGGCGACGAUCCGUAACUGGUCUGAGAGGAUGAUCAGUCACACUGGAACUGAGACACGGUCCAGACUCCUACGGGAGGCAGCAGUGGGGAAUAUUGGACAAUGGGCGAAAGCCUGAUCCAGCCAUGCCGCGUGUGUGAAGAAGGUCUUCGGAUUGUAAAGCACUUUAAGUUGGGAGGAAGGGCAGUAAGUUAAUACCUUGCUGUUUUGACGUUACCAACAGAAUAAGCACCGGCUAACUUCGUGCCAGCAGCCGCGGUAAUACGAAGGGUGCAAGCGUUAAUCGGAAUUACUGGGCGUAAAGCGCGCGUAGGUGGUUCGUUAAGUUGGAUGUGAAAGCCCCGGGCUCAACCUGGGAACUGCAUCCAAAACUGGCGAGCUAGAGUAUGGCAGAGGGUGGUGGAAUUUCCUGUGUAGCGGUGAAAUGCGUAGAUAUAGGAAGGAACACCAGUGGCGAAGGCGACCACCUGGGCUAAUACUGACACUGAGGUGCGAAAGCG
rnacentral:rRNA from 1 species